CCGGGACAGAUUUGUGGGCCUCCCUAGGCCUCCUCUGCAGCUCUGUAAAAUAGGGGAAACCGGACCCGUUGACCAGAAUUCCCUUCACUUUACACUCAGGCUACCACUCUCCGGGGGGCGUACGUGGUUCGUCUUCUCGGCCUUUCUGGGUGGCUCGUGGCUGCAUUCAUUCGGCAGCAGGGAUACGAAGCUAGAACUCAAACAGUCUGGGCUGUCCACAUCUUUCCCCACCGGCUUGUGGAGGAGUGGUCUAAGCAGCAGGUUGCUGGGCAGAGGGAGUGAAUUCAAGGUAUGGUGGCCACUAUCUUUAAGUUAGGUCAGCUGGAUGGCACAGAGGACAGAAUGCCAGGCCUGGCCGUAGACACUGAUUAGCCGUGUGACCUUUGGGGAUUCGGGGCAAGCCAUUUUCCGGUCUUGGGCCUCAGUUUCCCCCUCUGUCAAAUGAGAAGCUUGGACUCGAUGGCCUCUGAGAUCUUUGCUGGCUCUUGAAUGGAUGCUCGUGUCUUCGCCUUUCUCUGGGCAUCGGUUUCCUCACUCGUGUAGGAUGGAUGAGAGGUUUGGACUUCACGGCCUUGAAUGUCCCUGCCAUUUUGAACUCGGAGAACUCGUCCCUUUAAACAAUAAGGGCAGUUAAACAAAACAUAUCCGAGGAGAGUAGACCUCGAGUCACAAGAGCCCUUGGUGGCAAGGAAGUCCAGGCUCCUUGUCUUACAGAGGAGGAAGCCGAGGCCCACAGAGGGGACUUGCCCAAAGCCACACACAUAGAAGUCCUGCCUCAAGAGCUGAAAUAGGCCUCCGACGCCAUCAUUUUGGGGAAUUGGAACUCAGCGUUAGAGUUCCUCAGCAGCCCAUUUGCCAGAUGAGAAACUGAGUUUAGGAUAUGACUGUCUAGUACUUGGCCACCACGUAAUCUUCAUAUCUAGACCAGCAUCGGUCUAUCUUCCAUAUGAGAAACUGAGUUUAGGACAUGGCUGUCUAGUACUCGGCCCCCAUGUAAUCAAUCUAGACUACCAUCAGCCCAUUUUGCACUUGAGAAAAACUGAGAACUGGGCAACCAUGCAAUAUUUCUACCUGGAGCAGCAUCGACCCAUUUUCCUGAUGAGAAACUGUGAAUUUCCCAUCUGGCAUGAACACGGCUGUCUAGGACUUGGUCCCCAUGUAAUCUUCCAAUCUAGAACAGCAUCAGCCCAUUUUUCUGAUGAGAAACUUUGUUUAGGAUGUGGCUCUCUAGAAUUUGGCAACCAUGUAAUCUUCCAAUCUGGAGCAGCACUGAUCCAUUUUCCUGAUGAGAAACUGAGGUGAAUGUCUUUUAUAUUGUGAACAACAGAGUUAUGAAUAUUGAUACAAAUUUGGUGAUAUUUCAAAUGUUUUUUUAUCUGACAUCAACAUGUAUGCCUUGUGCUUGUCCCCCAUGUAAUCUACCCUAUCUAGACCUCCAUUAGCCCAUUUUCCAGAUGAAAAACCUGAAGGAAAUAUCAUGUAGAUAAUGAAAAAUAGAGCCAUGAUUGUUCAUACAACUUUGGUGAUGUUUCCUUUGUGCUUCCCGUCUGGCAUGAACAUGGUUAUCUAGAACUCGACCUCCGUAUAAUCUUUCGUAUCUAGACUUCCAUCAGCCCAUUUUCCAGAUGGGAAAACUGAAGAGAAUAUCUUGUAGAUAAUAAAAUAGAGCCCUGAUUAGUGAGAGAACUUUGGUGAUGUUUCCAUUGUAUUUCCUGUCUGUCAUGAACAUGGCUGUCUAGUACUCGGCCUCUACACAAUCGUUCCUGUCUAGACCACCAUCAGCCUACUUUCCAGACUGGAAAAUUGAAGCUAAUUUCAUGUUGAUAGUGAAAAUAGAGCCAUGAUCAUUGAAACAACUUUGGUGAUGUUUCCAUUGUAUUUCCCAUGUGGCCUGAAUAUUGCUGUC